UAUCAAUAAGCGGAGGAAAAGAAACCAACAGGGAUUGCCCUAGUAACGGCGAGUGAAGCGGCAACAGCUCAAAUUUGAAAUCUGGCGCAAGCCCGAGUUGUAAUUUGUAGAGGAUGCUUCUGGGUAGCGGCCGGUCUAAGUUCCUUGGAACAGGACGUCACAGAGGGUGAGAAUCCCGUAUGUGAUCGGCGCGCGCCCUCUACGUAGCUCCUUCGACGAGUCGAGUUGUUUGGGAAUGCAGCUCUAAAUGGGAGGUAAAUUUCUUCUAAAGCUAAAUACUGGCCAGAGACCGAUAGCGCACAAGUAGAGUGAUCGAAAGAUGAAAAGCACUUUGGAAAGAGAGUUAAAAAGCACGUGAAAUUGUUGAAAGGGAAGCGCUUGCAACCAGACUUGCGGGUGGUGUUCCGCCGGGCUUCUGCCCGGUCUACUCACCGCUCGCAGGCCAUCAUCGUCUGGGGCCGCCGGAGAAACCGUCAGGAAUGUGGCUCCCUCGGGAGUGUUAUAGCCUGUCGACAUGCGGCGCGCCCCGGGCGAGGUCCGCGCACUGCAAGGAUGAUGGCGUAAUGGUUGUCAGCGGCCCGUCUUGAAACACGG
rnacentral:rRNA from 2 species